rnacentral:sRNA from 1 species
AUUUUAUGUUUGUUCUU